GUGGGGAAUAUUGGACAAUGGGCGCAAGCCUGAUCCAGCCAUGCCGCGUGAGUGAUGACGGCCCUAGGGUUGUAAAGCUCUUUCACCGGUGAAGAUAAUGACGGUAACCGGAGAAGAAGCCCCGGCUAACUUCGUGCCAGCAGCCGCGGUAAUACGAAGGGGGCUAGCGUUGUUCGGAAUUACUGGGCGUAAAGCGCACGUAGGCGGACUAUUAAGUCAGGGGUGAAAUCCCGGGGCUCAACCCCGGAACUGCCUUUGAUACUGGUCGUCUCGAGUAGGGUAGAGGUGAGUGGAAGUCCGAGUGUAGAGGUGAAAUUCGUAGAUAUUCGGAGGAACACCAGUGGCGAAGGCGGCUCACUGGCUCGAUACUGACGCUGAGGUGCGAAAGCGUGGGGAGCAAACAGGAUUAGAAACCCCUGUAGUCC
rnacentral:rRNA from 1 species